GAUGAACGCUGGCGGCGUGCCUAAUACAUGCAAGUAGAACGCUGAAGCUUGGUGCUUGCACCGAGCGGAUGAGUUGCGAACGGGUGAGUAACGCGUAGGUAACCUGCCUCUUAGCGGGGGAUAACUAUUGGAAACGAUAGCUAAUACCGCAUAAAAGUCGAUAUCGCAUGAUAUUGAUUUGAAAGGUGCAAUUGCAUCACUAAGAGAUGGACCUGCGUUGUAUUAGCUAGUUGGUGAGGUAACGGCUCACCAAGGCGACGAUACAUAGCCGACCUGAGAGGGUGAUCGGCCACACUGGGACUGAGACACGGCCCAGACUCCUACGGGAGGCGGCAGUAGGGAAUCUUCGGCAAUGGGGGCAACCCUGACCGAGCAACGCCGCGUGAGUGAAGAAGGUUUUCGGAUCGUAAAGCUCUGUUGUAAGAGAAGAACGAGUGUGAGAGUGGAAAGUUCACACUGUGACGGUAACUUACCAGAAAGGGACGGCUAACUACGUGCCAGCAGCCGCGGUAAUACGUAGGUCCCGAGCGUUAUCCGGAUUUAUUGGGCGUAAAGCGAGCGCAGGCGGUUAGAUAAGUCUGAAGUUAAAGGCUGUGGCUUAACCAUAGUACGCUUUGGAAACUGUUUAACUUGAGUGCAGAAGGGGAGAGUGGAAUUCCAUGUGUAGCGGUGAAAUGCGUAGAUAUAUGGAGGAACACCGGUGGCGAAAGCGGCUCUCUGGUCUGUAACUGACGCUGAGGCUCGAAAGCGUGGGGAGCAAACAGG
rnacentral:rRNA from 1 species